GGAGAAAGACUAUGUGCAGUGACUGAGAUGCACCUUGGACAAAUCAAACUCACUCGAUAUAUACUACACAUCUGAGGCAGAUUUCCACCUCUGAAAUCCUGGAAAGAAAUACGGGAACCCUGAUUUUCCACUCUGCAAAGGAGGGGAGUACAAGAUGGAUGAUCUUUGAAGAUGUACUUGAGUACUCCUGGGACAUGAGAGCUGCACUGGUCAGGUGAGUUCAUUUUGGAUGCAUGGCAGAUUUUGUACAGCUGAAGCACAUUAACUUAAACAUAAAUUCAGAGUAGAUCAAGCAUUACACCAAGGUUAAUAU
rnacentral:lncRNA from 1 species